ACUCCUACGGGAGGCAGCAGUGGGGAAUAUUGCACAAUGGGGGAAACCCUGAUGCAGCCAUGCCGCGUGUGUGAAGAAGGCCUUCGGGUUGUAAAGCACUUUCAGUAGGGAGGAAGGUAGUGUAGUUAACACCUGCAUUAUUUGACGUUACCUACAGAAGAAGCACCGGCUAACUCCGUGCCAGCAGCCGCGGUAAGUACGGAGGGUGCGAGCGUUAAUCGGAAUUACGUGGGCGUAAAGCGCAUGCAGGCGGCCUGUUAAGUCAGAUGUGAAAGCCCGGGGUCUUAACCGUCGGAAUUGCAUUUGAAACUGGCAGGCUAGAGUCUUGGUAGAGGGGGUUAGAAUUUCGAGGUGUAGCGGUAGAAAUGCGUAGAGAUCUAGAAGGAAUACCAGUGCGAAGGCGGCCCCUGGACAAAGACUGACGCUCAGAUGCGAAAGCGUGGGAG
rnacentral:rRNA from 1 species